rnacentral:rRNA from 1 species
CAUGGCUUUUUGUUAUUUAUAUAAGGUCUAACCUGCCCAAUGAUGUAAUUAAAUGGCCGCGGUAUUUUGACCGUGCAAAGGUAGCAUAAUCAUUAGUUUUUUAAUUGAAAGCUGGAAUGAAAGGUUGAAUGAGAAAAUGACUGUCUUUAUUAUAUUUAAUUAAAACUUUAUUUUUAAGUUAAAAAGCUUAAAUAUUAUUUAAAGACGAGAAGACCCUUUAGAGUUUUAUAAAAAAUUAGUUUUUGGGCUUUAAGAAUUAACUAUAAGAAAAUUAAUUUUUAUUUAGUUGGGGCGAUUAAAAAAUUUAAAAAACUUUUUUUUUUAUUUAACAUUAAUUUAUGAAUAUUUGAUCCAUAAAUUAUGAUUAUAAGAUUAAAUUACCUAAGGGAUAACAGCGUUAUUUUUUUUGAGAGUUCUUAUCGAAAAAAGAGAUUGCGACCUCGAUGUUGGAUUAAAAUUAAAUUAUGGUGUAGGAGCUAUAAC